GGGGGUAUAGCUCAGUGGUAGAGCACUUGCCUGGUAUACAAGGCUCUGGAUUUGAUCCCCAGCACUGCCA
rnacentral:tRNA from 1 species